CCUACGGGUGGCAGCAGUGGGGAAUAUUGCACAAUGGGGGAAACCCUGAUGCAGCGACGCCGCGUGAGUGAAGAAGUAUUUCGGUAUGUAAAGCUCUAUCAGCAGGGAAGAAAAUGACGGUACCUGAUUAAGAAGCCCCGGCUAACUACGUGCCAGCAGCCGCGGUAAUACGUAGGGGGCAAGCGUUAUGCGGAUGUACUGGGUGUAAAGGGAGCGUAGGCGGCUGCGCAAGUCGGAGGUGAAAUGCCGGGGCUCAACCCCGGAACUGCUUUGGAGACUGUGCAGCUAGAGUGCAGGAGAGGGAAGUGGAAUUCCGAGGGUAGCGGUGAAAUGCGUAGAUAUUAGGAGGAACACCAGUGGCGAAGGCGGCUUACUGGACUGUAACUGACGUUGAGGCUCGAAAGCGUGGGGAGCAAACAGGAUUAGAUACCCCGGUAGUC
rnacentral:rRNA from 1 species